rnacentral:misc_RNA from 1 species
GUGUGGGCAGAUCCGCCCAAGGGAGUGGGCUGGGUUGUCCCGCAUGACCCCAUCAGUUCCGACUGUUUCGGCAACAACCAGGGCGUCAGCCAUGGCGGACCGUACUUUCAGCC